CGUGACGUCAGACGCCAGUCGACAAGGCGCCGCGCGCGAGACCGGCUGGGAACCCCCUGGUGAGGAGCGCGGGUCCUGUGGACGAGCCGCCAUGAGCAAGGCCCACCCUCCCGAGCUGAAGAAAUUUAUGGACAAGAAGUUAUCACUGAAAUUAAAUGGCGGCAGACAUGUCCAAGGAAUACUGCGGGGAUUUGAUCCCUUCAUGAAUCUUGUGAUUGAUGAAUGUGUGGAAAUGGCAACUAGUGGGCAGCAAAAUAAUAUUGGGAUGGUGGUCAUACGAGGAAAUAGCAUCAUCAUGUUGGAAGCUUUGGAACGAGUUUAAACAGUGACUUUUUAGAGGAAUUCAUGCCCCCUUCUCAAAAGGCCUAUUUUACUAUUGAUGUGAAAUCAGCCUGACACUGAGGAAAGAAUUAAACAAUUGAAGUGACAAGAGCCCGGCAUGGUGACGAAUGCUUUUUAAUCCCAGCACUUAGGAGGCACAAGUAGGAGGAUGGCAUGAGUUCGAGGCCACCCUGAGACUACAUAGUGAAUUU